GUGGGAGGGGGCUUGCUCCCGAUAGCGGUGUGUCAGUCAGCCUAUUCCAACCUGAUCCACCGCCAUCGGGAGCAAGCCCCCUCCCAC
rnacentral:misc_RNA from 1 species